rnacentral:rRNA from 1 species
GCAGCAGCCGCGGGAAAACGUAGGUGGCAAGCGUUGUCCGGAUUUAUUGGGCGUAAAGCGAGCGCAGGCGGUUCCUUAAGUCUGAUGUGAAAGCCCCCGGCUCAACCGGGGAGGGUCAUUGGAAACUGGGGAACUUGAGUGCAGAAGAGGAGAGUGGAAUUCCAUGUGUAGCGGUGAAAUGCGUAGAUAUAUGGAGGAACACCAGUGGCGAAGGCGACUCUCUGGUCUGUAACUGACGCUGAGGCCCGAAAGCGUGGGUAGCAAACAGGAUUAGAUACCCCGGUAGUCCCUGUCUCUUAUAC